rnacentral:misc_RNA from 1 species
AAAUUGUUUUAAUUGUAUUCUUUAUGUAUUUGUAGAUGUGCUUGUAAGUAUGUUCGUCUUGUAAUAAUUGUUUUAAUGGCGGCGGGCGGGACAAUAAAUGACACUUAUUUUCAACAUAACUAAGUUCACUGGCCAACACUAGUCUGUCAAUCAAAAAUUUUUGACAAUCGAAAAUAAUGUGUUCCACAGUUCCAUCACUUGAAUUACAAUGUGGACAAGUUUUAUUCGCAAUAAUGCCGAGUCGAGCAAGGUGUGACGGUGCAGUAUUAUGACCAAAACGUAGUCUAUUUAUGAUAGUAAUAAAGUCUCUAGUAGCAUCUUGCAUACGAUGAUACCAAGGUCUUGCAGGAGUAUAUCGGACAGUGUUGGAGAAUUACCACAUAAUAGACCUUGUGCUGUUAUUAAUGGUCUUCUUGGUGUUCUAUCUAUAUAAGGUCAGAGAUUAAAGAGGUGAAACUGUCUGCACUACUACGCCCUCUACGGAAGCCAUAUUGUAUAUGUGGAAUGAAACACUUGGAUUCAACAUACCAGUCAAGACGGACUUUCACCAUAUUUUCGAAUAUUUUACCAAGACAGGAUGACAAGGAAAUUGGUCUAUAAGAACUAGCAAACUCAGGAGAUUUGUCGGGCUUAAGUAUUGGGACAACACACUGUGUUUUCCAUGACUGUGGAAUAGAUUUAUUACGCCAAAGCAAAUUGAGGAUGCUAAGAAACAACUUUUGGGCAGAUACAUCUAACUUUUUAAUUACUAUGUAAGGAUAAUCAUCUAAGCCAGGAGUUGUAUUUCGUCUAGAGUGCAAGCU